CACUUAUAGUGUGGUGAGUGAGAUUGUGUAAUAAAUCUUUUUCACGUUUGGAGUGGUGCUGUGUAUUGCUGUGGGUUGCUGUGUGUCUUGUAGACGAAGCCCCGCAUCAUCCAUUUUCUUCCACUGGGCAGAGGACGGAGAGGCCAACGACUACAGAAAUCACUGUUACUAUAAGUAGUGUGCUGUUUGGAGUGCGAAGGGACGCAGACUAAGAGCUGUCCGUGACCGUGAGUAAACCAUUGGAAAACAUUUCGUGGUGUGAACUUACCUGUGCCUGCUUUCGUCGCAGAGUCAGAGGCGAAAGGGUCCGCCGCCCCGUGGUCUCUACGAAAAGGGCGCCCCCGUCUGGAAAUCGAUCGGCCUAUGGGCAUUGGAGAUAGGGCAGCGCUCGACCCGGUGAGGUGGUGUGGGACCUUCGCCCCUCUGUUGACCUACGGAGGAGAACCAUACCUACCCAGAAAGCUGUAAACAGCAGAGCCGCGGCCACCUGUGGAGAGAGAGCAGAACGAGAGUGAAUCAUUGGAGAGCAAACUGUGAACGUGAUACCUACCCAGAAAGCUGUAAACAGCAGAGCCGGUGAGAAAUACUCGAAGUCUCAGUAACAGUGUCUUUGUGCCCUAGCGGCCACCUGUGGAGAGAGAGCAGAACGAGAGUGAAUCAUUGGAGAGCAAACUGUGAACGUGAUACCUACCCAGAAAGCUGUAAACAGCAGAGCCGGUGAGAAUUACUCGAAGUCUCAGCAACAGUGUCUUUGUGUUCUAGCGGCCACCUGUGGAGAAAGAACGGAAAACGAGGAUGAACAUGAGGAGAAUGGACUGUGUGAAGAUACAGUGGUGGUGGAGGAGAGCCUAGAGUGGCCAUUGUUUUAAGUCCCCCGUUUCCCCUUCCCUAUUUAAUAUUUUUAAGUAAUUUAAUAAAGGAUAUUUUAAUUUUA